rnacentral:rRNA from 1 species
CCUACGGGGGGCAGCAGUGAGGAAUAUUGGUCAAUGGACGAGAGUCUGAACCAGCCAAGUAGCGUGAAGGAUGACUGCCCUAUGGGUUGUAAACUUCUUUUAUAUGGGAAUAAAAUGUUCCACGUGUGGGAUUUUGUAUGUACCAUAUGAAUAAGGAUCGGCUAACUCCGUGCCAGCAGCCGCGGUAAUACGGAGGAUCCGAGCGUUAUCCGGAUUUAUUGGGUUUAAAGGGAGCGUAGGUGGAUUGUUAAGUCAGUUGUGAAAGUUUGCGGCUCAACCGUAAAAUUGCAGUUGAUACUGGCAGUCUUGAGUACAGUAGAGGUGGGCGGAAUUCGUGGUGUAGCGGUGAAAUGCUUAGAUAUCACGAAGAACUCCGAUUGCGAAGGCAGUUCACUGGACUGCAACUGACACUGAGGCUCGAAAGUGUGGGUAUCAAACAGGAUUAGAUACCCCAGUAGUC